rnacentral:rRNA from 1 species
UACGGAGGGUGCAAGCGUUGCUCGGAAUUAUUGGGCGUAAAGGGUAGGUAGGUGGUCUCAUUUGUCUGGGGUGAAAGCCUUGAGCUUAACUCAAGAAGUGCCCCAGAAACGGUGAGACUGGAGUCCUGGAGAGGGUCGUGGAAUUCCCGGUGUAGCGGUGAAAUGCGUAGAGAUCGGGAGGAACACCAGAGGCGAAAGCGGCGACCUGGACAGGUACUGACACUCAACUACGAAAGCGUGGGGAGCAAACAGGG